rnacentral:rRNA from 1 species
AUUGAACGCUGGCGGAAUGCUUUACACAUGCAAGUCGAACGGUAACAGGUUAAGCUGACGAGUGGCGAACGGGUGAGUAAUAUAUCGGAACGUGCCCAGUCGUGGGGGAUAACGUAGCGAAAGCUACGCUAAUACCGCAUACGAUCUACGGAUGAAAGCGGGGGAUCGCAAGACCUCGCGCUAUUGGAGCGGCGGAUAUCAGAUUAGGUUGUUGGUGAGGUAAAAGCUCACCAAGCCUGCGAUCUGUAGCUGGUCUGAGAGGACGACCCGCCACACUGGAACUGAGACACGGUCCAGACUCCUACGGGGGGCAGCAGUGGGGAAUUUUGGACAAGGGACGAGAGUCUGAUCCAGCAAUGCCGCGUGCAGGACGAAGGCGUUCGGGUUGUAAACUGCUUUUGUACGGAACGAAGCCGUGAGCUCUAAUACAGUUGGCUAAUGACGGUACCGUAAGAAUAAGCACCGGCUAACUACGUGCCAGCCGCCGCCGUAA